rnacentral:rRNA from 1 species
CCGGUAAACGGCGGCCGUAACUAUAACGGUCCUAAGGUAGCGAAAUUCCUUGUCGGGUAAGUUCCGACCUGCACGAAUGGCGUAAUGAUGGCCAGGCUGUCUCCACCCGAGACUCAGUGAAAUUGAACUCGCUGUGAAGAUGCAGUGUACCCGCGGCAAGACGGAAAGACCCCGUGAACCUUUACUAUAGCUUGACACUGAACAUUGAGCCUUGAUGUGUAGGAUAGGUGGGAGGCUUUGAAGUGUGGACGCCAGUCUGCAUGGAGCCGGCCUUGAAAUACCACCCUUUAAUGUUUGAUGUUCUAACGUUGGCCCCUGACCGGGGUUGCGGACAGUGUCUGGUGGGUAGUUUGACUGGGGCGGUCUCCUCCUAAAGAGUAACGGAGGAGCACGAAGGUUGGCUAAUCCUGGUCGGACAUCAGGAGGUUAGUGCAAUGGCAUAAGCCAGCUUGACUGCGAGCGUGACGGCGCGAGCAGGUGCGAAAGCAGGUCAUAGUGAUCCGGUGGUUCUGAAUGGAAGGGCCAUCGCUCAACGGAUAAAAGGUACUCCGGGGAUAACAGGCUGAUACCGCCCAAGAGUUCAUAUCGACGGCGGUGUUUGGCACCUCGAUGUCGGCUCAUCACAUCCUGGGGCUGAAGUAGGUCCCAAGGGUAUGGCUGUUCGCCAUUUAAAGUGGUACGCGAGCUGGGUUUAGAACGUCGUGAGACAGUUCGGUCCCUAUCUGCCGUGGGCGCUGGAGAACUGAGGGGGGCUGCUCCUAGUACGAGAGGACCGGAGUGGACGCAUCACUGGUGUUCGGGUUGUCAUGCCA